AGAGUUUGAUCCUGGCUCAGGAUGAACGCUGGCGGCGUGCUUAACACAUGCAAGUCGAGCGAAGCGCUUAAACGGAUUUAUUGGGUGUAAAGGGUGCGUAGACGGGAAGGUAAGUUGAAUGUUUAAACUAUCGGCUCAACUGAUAGUCGCGUUCAAAACUAUCACUCUUGAGUGCAGUAGAGGUAGGCGGAAUUCCUAGUGUAGCGGUGAAAUGCGUAGAUAUUAGGAAGAACACCGG
rnacentral:rRNA from 1 species